AGUGAACGCUGGCGAUAGGCCUAACACAUGCAAGUCGAACGGCAGCACAGUAAGAGCUUGCUCUUACGGGUGGCGAGUGGCGGACGGGUGAGGAAUACAUCGGAAUCUACUUUUUCGUGGGGGAUAACGUAGGGAAACUUACGCUAAUACCGCAUACGACCUACGGGUGAAAGCAGGGGAUCUUCGGACCCUGCGCGAUUGAAUGAGCCGAUGUCGGAUUAGCUAGUUGGCGGGGUAAAGGCCCACCAAGGCGACGAUCCGUAGCUGGUCUGAGAGGAUGAUCAGCCACACUGGAACUGAGACACGGUCCAGACUCCUACGGGAGGCAGCAGUGGGGAAUAUUGGACAAUGGGCGCAAGCCUGAUCCAGCCAUACCGCGUGGGUGAAGAAGGCCUUCGGGUUGUAAAGCCCUUUUGUUGGGAAAGAAAAGCAGCAGGUUAAUACCCCGCUGUUCUGACGGUACCCAAAGAAUAAGCACCGGCUAACUUCGUG
rnacentral:rRNA from 1 species